UCUGUAGAGAGGGGGAAAAGAUGACACGUGUCAUCCUCUCUUUCAAAGAUAAUUAUUUUUCGGUUUGCCCAAAUCUUAAUCCUUCAUUUCGAUGGCGACUAAUUUGAGGCGGAGGAUUAGCCAGAGAUGGAAGGAAAGUGGGUAGGGAGGACGCCGGAGGGAGUGGGACUGGUGGUGAAGCUAGCUGGUGGCGAUUAAGUAGCAGAGAGGGAUGAUUGCGAAGGUGGCGCGUUUUGUUGAUCAUAAAACGAGAGAUAAGUAUUUUUUGUCGCUACCUGCUAAAAAGAUAUGUGGAACUUUAAGUCAAUGACAGAUGAUGAUCCAAUGAAGUUUGGGUUUGGCUCACCAGCAAUCAAAGAUAAGAAGAAGAAGAAGAAGGCCUUCAAGCUAUAUAACAUUUGACGAUCCAUCCCUAAUCAAUCAGGUUCCAUCUCUUUCUCUCCCUCUCUCUGUUAUCCAUCGUUUCUCACUAUUUCUAAUCAGUUUUUCAUGAUGCCUUCGUUUGAGCUAAUUGUAUAUGUGUGGUUACGGAGUUGCCGGAACUGGGUAAAGAUUAUUCUGCUCAUAUGCUUAAUUAGUACACUCACGUGAGCUUCCCUUCCCUUUUUCACUAUCUUAUCUUGCUAAGAAAUUGAUAUGGUAAGAGCUUAAUAAUGUAUAGAAUGUGGUUACUAGCCUUUAAGUUGAAGGCAUGGUUUCUGUAUAAUGUGUAUGAAAUUCAUAUGUGUAACAGAGAUGAUAAGCUUUCUGUAUUGGAAGUGGGGGGUCUUCUUUUGAGAUGCCAAAACUGGAUGUUUUAAAAUGUUUCUCUAAUUGAUUUGCUAUAAUUUGAGGAGGCAAAUUCAGUAGACAGAUCGUCAGAGGUAUCUUGAUCCAAAAGUUACAAGCAUUUUUUCACAUAAUCAGGAUAGUGACUUGAAAAUGCUUCAGAUGGUUAGUUUGAUGAGCUUUUUAUUAAUAUGAAGAUAUGAAUUAAUAUAUAUUUGGUGAGGGUUUUAGGAGUUUAGAUUUUUGAGUUUCGUAUGAAUGUGAAACAAAUCAUCGAGCUUUGAUUUUAAUGAGACUGUGUGGAGUUUAUAAACUAUCAGUGUUGAUUAUUGUUGUGUAUAAUGAGUUUCUAAGCUAUCGCCUCUUUUUUGACUUGAAACUUGAUCGCCCGGAAAAACAGAAGUGGUCUUCUUCUGCUUGAAGGUAAAACGUAAGCCAAUCUGAAGAAAAGUACAAGAAGAGCGAGGGUUGGCGGUUGCAAUGUAAGUCAUUCUUUUACUUCUAUUAAGCGAAAGUAUGUCCUCUGAAAAUGAGAAAAACGUCUACCCACGCCUCUUCAGUUUGCUCCUACUCUCCAUCGACAAUAUAUGAGCUCAUGUUGUGUCUCAGUUCUGACUCAUGUCUAACUCCCCCACCACAAAUUCAUACACAACAAUAGACAAUAAAUAGCUCAAAUUUUAUCUGAUCACCGGCCAUACAUGUUCGAUUGAUGGACUUAGCCAUAUAUACUACAACUUCACAUCACAAUGUUAAAACUUACCUACCAUUCUUCUCAUGAUUUACAAUAAUUCACCAUGAAAGAAUAUGUGAAAUUUAUGCAUUGGUCAAUAUUCCAGGCUCUGCAAUAGUUCCAAGUAUAUGAAUACAACUUCAAACUCUCCAAACAGAUCUCAAAAAUGAAAUCGUGCAUUCUGAACUGAGGUGACUUUAAUCUAUUUUCUAUAAAUAAAUUCUGUUCUACGUGUGCUCAGUCCUCACUACAGCCUCCUUUCUAUUAGCACAUUAUUGUACGGUUAUGGACUCUUUUAUUUUGUGUUUACGGUCAUGUUUCAUUUUUUUUUAUCUUUGGUUCCAAACUAUAGCCUGAGCAUCUUAGAGAGCAUGCCGAAGAAGGAACAAAUGCAAUUUCUUAUGAACCUGAUGUGGAGAAGAACCUAAGGAGAAACACUUCUUCAAACCCCUUUCGAUAUACCCGAAACCGCACAGAGAAAUCACUCACUCACCCAGCUGCUUCAUGGUGAUUCUUGCAUAGAUGAGAAAUGAUUAGCACCAGACGUUUGUUGAUUGUUUCAUAAAUAAUGCUUGAUAGGAUUUUUAGUUGUGGUAGGUUUGUUUAAAGUUUGAUUUAUGUAUUUGAUGGUAACGUGACUUUCGGAUAUUUGAAUGAUACCAAAAAGAUGUGAAUAGAUAAGUUAAGAAACUAAUGGAUAUUGCUAGUGUAACAACUUGUCUAUUAUUAAAAGGUAAAGAUAACUUGCUGUAUUUAUCAUUCAACCAAUUAAUCAAUUUACCCACACUAAUUAUAUUCAAAGAUUCAAGAAGCGAACGUCAAAUUUGGUAAAUAUCAUCCGAAGCCAAGAACAGGCAAUAGACGAUAUCGAUAGGAUGACCAACCAUAGUCCAAAAAACAGAUCUUAUAAUCUAACACAAAGCUAUAAAACAUACAGAGAACAUGAUUGUUCGUUCAUGUACAUAAAUAAUUAAGAAAUUCAAAAUGUCUAUUUAAAGAAGUAUAUUUUUUUCACUAAACAUUACAGUUGAAUCUAUCUACGGUAGUCAUAAUCUAUAACAUGAUUCUUUAUUAGUUUAGCAAUUACAUAUGCCCGUUUCUUAGAAAUACUCCUAUAAUUUUCUGUGAUAGUAACUCAGUGUGUUACUUUGCCUUAGCAAUAAACUAAACACUUGAGAAUUUUGUAAUAAACUAAAGUCGAGAACUUCCAAAAUCUACCACCUAUUAAAGAACACAACGGUUCCUAUAAGUAUUAACCAAAACAAAACCUUAGAUAGAGGAGAAUAUCAGAGCACCUAUUCCACAUUGCUACAACAGGUUUUUAGAUACUUCUAAUUUCUUGAAUUUGACAUUAAUCCUAGAAAAUCAAGAAAGGUGAAUUGCACAUUCUAACUACACACAAGGAUUCAAAAGAUUUUCAAGCUUCAUCAACUGAGUAAGACUAGGAGACCAAGGGAUAGGCUGUAACAAUUAUAGAGUGUAACGAAGUAAUUAACAUCAGCAUAUGAGAAUUGUGAACUUGUCAUUUCACAUGUUUAGAAAUGAUCACAAUGGGUUUAGAGUAAUAAAACAAAGCCUAAACACUCAAGAUUCAAGAAAACUAUUACCACAAGCGGCAUGAUACAUCAUACAUACAAGCACCAAAUAAAGUAACAAUAUAAACACGAAAUAAAAUAUAACUUUUCAUGAAAGGAUAUAUUACCAAUCAGUUUAGAAUUCUACGGAUACUUAAUCAAAUAGUUAGUAAAUAUAUGAAAAGACUUAUAAAGAAAAAUUUCUGAUGCUUAAAUAAUAUUUCUUAUAAGGAUUAACAAGCAAUAAGUUUCUACAAUCUCACGAAUACUAGACCGAUGCCAAAAAUAUUGCCAAGACUCAUAGACUUGAUAACAGAUAAAAAUCACUGUUAUUGUAAAAACUCAAGUCAAUGUAUACAAUUUAUAGAAUCUAACACAAUAUUCGUUAGCUUACUAUGCAGAGUUGUGAAUAAGUCAUUUCACAUGUUUACAAUGAUCACUAAGGAUUAAGACUUAAGAAUAUAACACAAAGCAGAAACGUUCAAUAUAAAGAGACUACAACCACAUUAUGCAGAAGACUCUCACCUACGUUGAUCUAGAAGUGACCUCUUAAAAAUAAGAUACAUUAUAAUACAUAUAAACACCAAACUAAUUUAAAAUAGUAACUUUUUUCUAAUCAACAUACAUAUUACUAACGCAAUUUAGAUUGAUCACUGAGAGUAAGAGGAGCAUACACACAAAACAGAUACAUUCAAAAUUCAAGGACUAAAUACUCACACAAUGUAUAUGAUUUUCGCAUGUUGAUAUACAAGAGACUCUAAAAUAUACCAGUUACAUUUGUUUAUCUAAAGAGAGACCUUAUUCAUAAAAGCAUCAAACUAAAUAGAUACUAACAACAUGAUGGAAUCUCAAACCUAUGUUGAUUUACCAGAGAAUCCAAAAUACAUUGAUUUCAUAAAGUGAGACACCUUAUAAUACAUACAAGCAACAAAAUAAAGACAUUAUAACACGUUUAGAAUGACCACUGAUGGUUAAACGCGUGACACAAAUCAAAAACAUUGAAGAUUCAAAGAACAACCUACUACCACAGUUUACAGGAGUAUCUCACCUACCUUGAUCUACAAGAGACUCCUAGAUACUUCAUACGUCCAAGCACGAAAUUAAAGAUAACAGAGAUUGAACAUUGUAAACACAAUGCAAUGUUCCAAUAUUAAAAAAAAGAAUCUACUUGUUCAUCAAUGGGUUUUUCAGCAGUCAGUUUUUAGAAUCUCACGGAUGCUAAAUCAAUGAGAAACGUUGUCACUUACUUAGAUUAAACAUUGUAAAACAAUGUAAUGUUCCAAUAUUAAAAAAGAAUCUACUUGCAUAUCAAUGGAUAUGUUAGCAGUCAGUUUUUAGAAUCUCGUGGAUGCUAAAUCAAUGAGAAACGUUGUCACUUACUUAGUUUGUAUUCAUAUGUAAUAAUAUCAAAUUGUAAGAGAAAAAGUGAAGAAAAGCAUAUACCUGAACAAGCGUCAAUGAGGAUACGAACAAUACCUAAACAAAUGUAACUAGUAUUCACUUCAUAAUUGAAUGUAUCAACUAAGUAACAAACAAGUUUGGAAAAGCACAUACCUGUCAA